UACGUAGGGUGCAAGCGUUGUCCGGAAUUAUUGGGCGUAAAGAGCUCGUAGGCGGUUUGUUGCGUCGGCUGUGAAAUCCCGAGGCUCAACCUCGGGUCUGCAGUCGAUACGAGCAAACUAGAGUGUUGCAGGGGAGACUGGAAUUCCUGGUGUAGCGGUGAAAUGCGCAGAUAUCAGGAGGAACACCGGUGGCGAAGGCGGGUCUCUGGGCCGAUACUGACGCUGGAGGAGCGAAAAGCGUGGGGAGCGAACAGG
rnacentral:rRNA from 1 species